GAUAAACGCUGGCGGCGUGCCUAAUACAUGCAAGUCGAGCGAACGGACGAGAAGCUUGCUUCUCUGAUGUUAGCGGCGGACGGGUGAGUAACACGUGGAUAACCUACCUAUAAGACUGGGAUAACUUCGGGAAACCGGAGCUAAUACCGGAUAACAUUUUGAACCGCAUGGUUCAAAAGUGAAAGACGGUCUUGCUGUCACUUAUAGAUGGAUCCGCGCUGCAUUAGCUAGUUGGUAAGGUAACGGCUUACCAAGGCAACGAUGCAUAGCCGACCUGAGAGGGUGAUCGGCCACACUGGAACUGAGACACGGUCCAGACUCCUACGGGAGGCAGCAGUAGGGAAUCUUCCGCAAUGGGCGAAAGCCUGACGGAGCAACGCCGCGUGAGUGAUGAAGGUCUUCGGAUCGUAAAACUCUGUUAUUAGGGAAGAACAUAUGUGUAAGUAACUGUGCACAUCUUGACGGUACCUAAUCAGAAAGCCACGGCUAACUACGUGCCAGCAGCCGCGGUAAUAUGUAGGUGGCAAGCGUUAUCCGGAAUUAUUGGGCGUAAAGCGCGCGUAGGCGGUUUUUUAAGUCUGAUGUGAAAGCCCACGGCUCAACCGUGGAGGGUCAUUGGAAACUGGAAAACUUGAGUGCAGAAGAGGAAAGUGGAAUUCCAUGUGUAGCGGUGAAAUGCGCAGAGAUAUGGAGGAACACCAGUGGCGAAGGCGACUUUCUGGUCUGUAACUGACGCUGAUGUGCGAAAGCGUGGGGAUCAAACAGGAUUAGAUACCCUGGUAGUCCACGCCGUAAACGAUGAGUGCUAAGUGUUAGGGGGUUUCCGCCCCUUAGUGCUGCAGCUAACGCAUUAAGCACUCCGCCUGGGGAGUACGACCGCAAGGUUGAAACUCAAAGGAAUUGACGGGGACCCGCACAAGCGGUGGAGCAUGUGGUUUAAUUCGAAGCAACGCGAAGAACCUUACCAAAUCUUGACAUCCUUUGACAACUCUAGAGAUAGAGCCUUCCCCUUCGGGGGACAAAGUGACAGGUGGUGCAUGGUUGUCGUCAGCUCGUGUCGUGAGAUGUUGGGUUAAGUCCCGCAACGAGCGCAACCCUUAAGCUUAGUUGCCAUCAUUAAGUUGGGCACUCUAAGUUGACUGCCGGUGACAAACCGGAGGAAGGUGGGGAUGACGUCAAAUCAUCAUGCCCCUUAUGAUUUGGGCUACACACGUGCUACAAUGGACAAUACAAAGGGCAGCGAAACCGCGAGGUCAAGCAAAUCCCAUAAAGUUGUUCUCAGUUCGGAUUGUAGUCUGCAACUCGACUACAUGAAGCUGGAAUCGCUAGUAAUCGUAGAUCAGAAUGCUACGGUGAAUACGUUCCCGGGUCU
rnacentral:rRNA from 1 species